UAGUGCUAGGAGAAGCAUAUGCCCCCUGGCCGUUGCGUAGACAGCUCUCUACAUGCAAAUACAAUACAAAAAAUUGUUGGAAUUGUCAGCUGAAUAGCAAAUUCAGUUAGAAUUUCAUGUGAACAUAAAACCUCAAUUUAAUGAGAUCAAUAAAUCUUAUUUUUACAAAAAUAAUAAACACAAGCGCUAGAACAAUACUUGUACCUAAAUAAAGUUUACAGAUGCACAUGAAUAGAUCCACACGAACAGAGCCAAACAAAGGGUCGAGUUAGUAACCUCACCAUGAUCCCGAGAUAAUUGCUAUCCAUAUGGAGGCGACUCCAUCAUUGCUAUGGAGUAGAACUACAGAACCACAGAACAACAUCUCUCCUCAUGGAAACCGGGGUGAGAAGAACACGUAGAGGAGCAUCAUGUCACGUCACAUAAGGCGCGAUGUCAGGCACGCCGGCAACCAGCAAUGCCAUGGAGAAGAAACAUAGCAGAACCAGCUGAGCGAGGAUGUAGUGGAUCAAUGGGAAGGUCAACACAACAGCUUGGACCAAUUGAAUUGAUGGCCAUUAGAUGGGUCGGUGAAAGAGAAUUGGGUGGCACUUGGCCAGGGUCUUUCUUUGCAAUGUUCUUCUUCUUCGGGAUUGCACUCCAUCGCCACACUUCCCUGUGGUCUUCUCCAUCCCGCCAGACACCCCCUGCUUCUUCUCACGCCGUCCCGCGGUCUCGUGUCACUCGAUGGCCUCGCUGCUUGGUAGCUACUUCACUGUAACAAUGGGAACCAAUCUUGUUUCAAGACAAGAUUCUGUCAGUGAAAACUACAAAACGCAUGAAUCAUCAUGAAAACGAAUAGCAGUACAUCAUAACCAAGUGAAGAAAUAAAUAAGAAGUGAAAGGAACUUGCAGAAAUCAAUUUCAUAUGUGAGGAUAAUCUGCAAAAUAUGUUUGUCAAGACAAAUCUAAAAACCAAACUGCUUGUGUGACUUUAAUAUGAAUUAAAUUGCUGAACCAAAUAUGUUUGUCAAGACAAAUCUGAAAACCAAACUGCUUGUGUGACCUUAAUACGAAUUAAAUUGCUGAACCUCGGUAUAGUGGAAAAGAUAUUACUAACCUACAGAGUAAGACUUCCAAUCCUACUGUUUGCUAGCAGCAUAAUAAUGUGACUCCCAGCAUACACCAACAAUGCGAAAAAAUUAGAGCUGGAAGGCAUGAAUUCCUAAUACUACAGCUCAUCCAUCUUAUGAGGAAAGGAUUCCUGCUUCCAAAAUGAAGAUACC
rnacentral:lncRNA from 1 species